GAUGAACGCUGGCGGCGUGCCUAACACAUGCAAGUCGAGCGAGCUGAAUUGUUUGAAGCCUUCGGGUGGAAAAUAAGGAUGCUAGCGGCGGACGGGUGAGUAACGCGUGGGCAACCUACCCUGUACAGGGGGAUAACAAUGGGAAACCAUUGCUAAUACCCCAUAAUACCUUUAAGGGGCAUCCCUUAAAGGUCAAAGAAUUUCGGUAUAGGAUGGGCCCGCGUCUGAUUAGCUAGUUGGUGAGGUAAUGGCUCACCAAGGCGACGAUCAGUAGCCGGCCUGAGAGGGUGAACGGCCACACUGGAACUGAGACACGGUCCAGACUCCUACGGGAGGCAGCAGUGGGGAAUAUUGCACAAUGGGGGAAACCCUGAUGCAGCAACGCCGCGUGAGCGAUGAAGGCUUUCGAGUCGUAAAGCUCUGUCCUAAGGGAAGAUAAUGACGGUACCUUAGGAGGAAGCCCCGGCUAACUACGUGCCAGCAGCCGCGGUAAUACGUAGGGGGCAAGCGUUAUCCGGAAUCAUUGGGCGUAAAGGGUGCGUAGGCGGCCUUAUAAGUCAGAGGUCAAAGGCUACGGCUCAACCGUAGUAAGCCUUUGAAACUGUAGGGCUUGAGUGCAGGAGAGGAGAGUGGAAUUCCUAGUGUAGCGGUGAAAUGCGUAGAUAUUAGGAGGAACACCAGUGGCGAAGGCGACUCUCUGGACUGCAACUGACGCUGAGGCACGAAAGCGUGGGUAGCGAACAGGAUUAGAUACCCUGGUAGUCCACGCCGUAAACGAUGAGUGCUAGGUGUCGGGGGUCAAACCUCGGUGCCGCAGUUAACGCAUUAAGCACUCCGCCUGGGGAGUACGUACGCAAGUAUGAAACUCAAAGGAAUUGACGGGGACCCGCACAAGCAGCGG
rnacentral:rRNA from 1 species